rfam:Ceriporiopsis subvermispora B unplaced genomic scaffold CERSTscaffold_7, whole genome shotgun sequence.
UGCCCCAUGGCUGAGUUGGUUACAGCGUCCGACUGUUAUUCUUCAUGCAAGCAAGGGACAUCGGAAGGUCGUGAGUUCGAGCCUCACUGGGGCAG